UGCCAUUUGUCACAUUAACUUUUUUUUUUUUUUUUGCUGUAGAGCUUAUUUCUCUCGUCAGAUUAUUUAUUAAACAAUUCUUAUAUAGCACCUUUAUCCAUCGCUUAACAUAGACUAGCAUUCAUCAAUAAUUAAGUAAUAAUAACUACAACCACUGUAUAGGACAUUUAGGUUACAUGAUUAUAAAUUGAGGUUACAUGAUUAUAAAUUAGAGACCAAUUAUAGUGGAUUGAGGCUCAUGAAGAACAACAUUGUAUUCAACAAGAGAAUAGUAUGUAGUUAUAGUCAUAUUCAGUUGCAUGGAUUUACAGCUACGGGAGGCAGUAGUCAUGACUAUGGUGGUUGCACAGGUGGGGAGCAAGUGUUAUUGUUAAGGAACAGGUUAAUCAAUAUUUCAAAACAAUUCUUGAUUCAGGGCUAUUCACAAAAGUGGAUUUCAUAGUGAAUAAAAAGUAAAUUUCAAGUUUAAGACCAAAGUAGAGCCGAAGUUCAGCUAUGUUAGCCUUAAAUUUGAAACUCACUUUGAAUUUUAACUUUAGUGAGUAGCCCUGAUUGAGUUACAGAUGGUGUAUUAAGAAUCCGUCAAAUGUAUGAUUGUAGUUUUGUUUUUAUUUUUAAAACGGUUAGUUCACUAAAUUAAUAACUGUGUACAACUGAGAAGGGAAUUGAUUUUUUUUCUUGUUGUGACACAAGUAAAGGAAAAAUGUUGAGUGUAUUGAGUUGACAAAAAAAGUUACUACCGUGUUUCUCCGAAAAUAAGACCGGGUCUUAUAUUAAUUUUAGUCACAAAAAACACACUAGGGCUUAUUUUCAGGGUAGGGCUUAUUUAUUUACGUUACCAGUAUGUACAGCUCUUUCUCUUUGCACUCAUCUUGUCUGGGGAUCAAAAUACCAUACUGUCUAAUUAAUCCACCCCC